rnacentral:rRNA from 1 species
UGCCAGCAGCCGCGGUAAUACGAAGGGUCCAAGCGUUACUCGGAUUUACUGGGCGUAAAGUGCGCGUAGGCUGAUUGGCAAGUCGAAAGUUAAAUCCCCGGGCUCAACCUGGGAAUCGCUUUCGAAACUGCCUUUCUAGAGUUUGGUAGAGAGAAGUGGAAUUCUUAGUGGAGGGGUAAAAUCCGUAGAUAUUAAGAGGAACACCGGAGGCGAAGGCGACUUCUUGGGCCAAUACUGACGCUGAGGCGCGAAGGCGUGGGGAGCAAACGGGAUUAGAUA